rnacentral:rRNA from 1 species
CCUACGGGUGGCAGCAGUGAGGAAUAUUGGUCAAUGGACGAGAGUCUGAACCAGCCAUGUAGCGUGAAGGAUGACUGCCCUAUGGGUUGUAAACUGCUUUUGUAAAGGGGUAAAACGAGUCACGUGUACCUUUUUGCAUGUACUUUAUGAAUAAGGAUCGGCUAACUCCGUGCCAGCAGCCGCGGUAAUACGGAGGAUCCGAGCGUUAUCCGGAUUUAUUGGGUUUAAAGGGAGCGUAGAUGGUUUGUUAAGUCAGUUGUGAAAGUUUGAGGCUCAACCGCAAAAUUGCAAUUGAUACUGUCAGUCUUGAGUACAGUUGAGGUAGGCGGAAUUCGUGGUGUAGCGGUGAAAUGCUUAGAUAUCACGCAGAACACCGAUUGCGAAGGCAGCUUACUAAGCUGUGACUGACACUGAUGCUCGAAAGUGUGGGUAUCAAACAGGAUUAGAUACCCUUGUAGUC